ACUUAGUGGCAGACGGGUGAGUAACAUGUGGGUAUCUACCCUUUGGCCUGGAAUAACACGAGGAAACUUGUGCUAAUACCGGAUAAGUCUUUACGGAGAAAGCUUUAUGCACCAUUGGAUGAGCCCGCACUUGAUUAGUUUGUUGGUAGGGUAAUGGCCUACCAAGACUAUGAUCAAUAGCUGAUUUGAGAGGAUGAUCAGCCACAUUGGGACUGAGACACGGCCCAAACUCCUACGGGAGGCAGCAGUGGGGAAUCUUGCACAAUGGAGGAAACUCUGAUGCAGCGAUGCCGCGUGAGUGAAGAAGGCCUUUGGGUUGUAAAGCUCUUUCGUCGGGGAAGAAAAUGACUGUACCCGAAUAAGAAGGUCCGGCUAACUUCGUGCCAGCAGCCGCGGUAAUACGAAGGGACCUAGCGUAGUUCGGAAUUACUGGGCUUAAAGAGUUCGUAGGUGGUUGAAAAAGUUGGUGGUGAAAUCCCAGAGCUUAACUCUGGAACUGCCAUCAAAACUUUUCAGCUAGAGUAUGAUAGAGGAAAGCAGAAUUUCUAGUGUAGAGGUGAAAUUCGUAGAUAU
rnacentral:rRNA from 1 species